rnacentral:rRNA from 1 species
GAUGAACGCUGGCGGCGUGCCUAAUACAUGCAAGUCGAGCGAAUGGAUUAAGAGCUUGCUCUUAUGAAGUUAGCGGCGGACGGGUGAGUAACACGUGGGUAACCUGCCCAUAAGACUGGGAUAACUCCGGGAAACCGGGGCUAAUACCGGAUAACAUUUUGAACCGCAUGGUUCGAAAUUGAAAGGCGGCUUCGGCUGUCACUUAUGGAUGGACCCGCGUCGCAUUAGCUAGUUGGUGAGGUAACGGCUCACCAAGGCAACGAUGCGUAGCCGACCUGAGAGGGUGAUCGGCAACACUGGGACUGAGACACGGCCCAGACUCCUACGGGAGGCAGCAGGAGGGAAUCUUCCGCAAUGGACGAAAGUCUGACGGAGCAACGCCGCGUGAGUGAUGAAGGCUUUCGGGUCGUAAAACUCUGUUGUUAGGGAAGAACAAGUGCUAGUUGAAUAAGCUGACACCUUGACGGUACCUAACCAGAAAGCCACGGCUAACUACGUGCCAGCCGCCGCUGUAA